rnacentral:rRNA from 1 species
UACGCAGGUGGCGAGCGUUGUCCGGAUUUACUGGGCGUAAAGAGCGCGCAGGCGGUCGUUCAAGUCGCGUGUGAAAGCCCCCGGCUCAACUGGGGAGGGUCACGCGAUACUGAUCGACUCGAAGGCAGGAGAGGGAAGUGGAAUUCCCGGUGUAGUGGUGAAAUGCGUAGAUAUCGGGAGGAACACCAGUGGCGAAGGCGACUUCCUGGCCUGUUCUUGACGCUGAGGCGCGAAAGCUAGGGGAGCAAACGGG